rnacentral:rRNA from 1 species
GACGAACGCUGGCGGCGUGCUUAACACAUGCAAGUCGAACGGUAAGGCCCUUCGGGGUACACGAGUGGCGAACGGGUGAGUAACACGUGGGUGAUCUGCCCUGCACUUCGGGAUAAGCCUGGGAAACUGGGUCUAAUACCGGAUAGGACUCCGGACUGCAUGGUCGGGGGUGGAAAGCUUUUGCGGUGUGGGAUGGGCCCGCGGCCUAUCAGCUUGUUGGUGGGGGGAUGGCCUACCAAGGCGACGACGGGUAGCCGGCCUGAGAGGGUGACCGGCCACACUGGGACUGAGAUACGGCCCAGACUCCUACGGGAGGCAGCAGUGGGGAAUAUUGCACAAUGGGCGCAAGCCUGAUGCAGCGACGCCGCGUGAGGGAUGACGGCCUUCGGGUUGUAAACCUCUUUCAGCAUCGACGAAGCGAAAGUGACGGUAGGUGCAGAAGAAGGACCGGCCAACUGCGUGCCAGCCGCCGCCGUAA